rnacentral:rRNA from 1 species
GAUGAACGCUGGCGGCGUGCUUAAUACAUACAAGUCGAACGAAGCACUUAAGACAGAUUCCUUCGGGAUGAAGAUUUUUGUGACUGAGUGGCGGACGGGUGAGUAACGCGUGGGUGACCUGCCUUAUACAGGGGGAUAGCAGUUGGAAACGACUGGUAAUACCGCAUAAGCGCACAGUACCGCAUGGUACAGUGUGAAAAACUCCGGUGGUAUAAGAUGGACCCGCGUCUGAUUAGCUGGUUGGUGAGGUAACGGCCCACCAAGGCGACGAUCAGUAGCCGGCCUGACGAGGGUGAACGGCCACAUUGGGACUGAGACACGGCCCUAAACUCCUACGGGAGGCAGCAGUGGGGAAUAUUGCACAAUGGGGGAAACCCUGAUGCAGCGACGCCGCGUGAGUGAUGAAGUAUUUCGGUAUGUAAAACUCUAUCAGCAGGGAAGAUAAAUGACGGUACCUGACUAAGAAGCACCGGCUAAAUACGUGCCAGCAGCCGUA